GAGUGUUACGUCUCUUUUAGAAUUUUUCUUCCAGGUUUUCCAGUUUUUACUGGAAAGCCCCC
rnacentral:snRNA from 1 species